GACGAACGCUGGCGGCGUGCUUAACACAUGCAAGUCGAACGGUAAGGCCCUUCGGGGUACGACGAGUGGCGAACGGGUGAGUAACACGUGGGUGAUCUGCCCUGCACUUCGGGAUAAGCCUGGGAAACUGGGUCUAAUACCGGAUAGGACUCCUGGCUUCAUGGUUGGGGGUGUAAAGCUUUUGCGGUGUGGGAUGGGCCCGCGGCCUAUCAGCUUGUUGGUGGGGUAAUGGCCUACCAAGGCGACGACGGGUAGCCGGCCUGAGAGGGUGACCGGCCACACUGGGACUGAGAUACGGCCCAGACUCCUACGGGAGGCAGCAGUGGGGAAUAUUGCACAAUGGGCGCAAGCCUGAUGCAGCGACGCCGCGUGAGGGAUGACGGCCUUCGGUUGUAACUACUUCAAUAGGACGAAG
rnacentral:rRNA from 1 species